rnacentral:rRNA from 1 species
CUCUGCGCAAGGGAUCUUUUGGUUCGCUAGACGAAGAAGGGCGCAGCGGAAUGCGAAAUGUGCAGGAGUCGCAGCGAAGAUAGCACAUGCCUGAAAUCACGAGAGUGAGACUACCCCUUUGAAUUAAGCAUAUGAGUAAAGGGAGGAAAAGAAACUAACAAGGAUUCCUGUAGUAGCGGCGAGCGAAGAAGGAACUGCCCCGAGUGUAAUCACAAUUAUGUGAG